rnacentral:rRNA from 1 species
UACAGAGGGUGCGAGCGUUGUUCGGAAUUAUUGGGCGUAAAGGGCGCGUAGGCGGUGCGGUAAGUCACCUGUGAAAUCUCCCGGCUCAACUGGGAGCGUGCAGGCGAAACUGCCGUGCUGGAGGGUGAGAGAGGUGCGUGGAAUUCCCGGUGUAGCGGUGAAAUGCGUAGAUAUCUGCAGGAACACCCGUGGCGAAAGCGGCGCGCUGGACCACAACUGACGCUGAGGAACGAAAGCUAGGGGAGCAAACAGG